rnacentral:rRNA from 1 species
AUUGAACGCUGGCGGCGUGCCUAACACAUGCAAGUCGAGCGGUAACAGGUGUAGCAAUACAUGCUGACGAGCGGCGGACGGGUGAGUAACGCUUGGGAAUCUGCCUGAUAGUGGGGGACAACCCGGGGAAACGUCGGGCUAAUACCGCAUACGCACUACGGUGGAAAGCCGGGGACCGCAAGGCCUGGCGCUAUCAGAUGAGCCCAAGUCGGAUUAGCUAGUUGGAGGGUAACGGCCUACCAAGGCGACGAUCCGUAACUGGUCUGAGAGGACGACCAGUCACACCGGAACUGAGACACGGUCCGGACUCCUACGGGAGGCAGCAGUGGGGAAUAUUGGACAA